UGGACUGUCCUGGAGACCUAAAUCAUCUAUUUAUCCACAGAACAAAUCCAGCACAAACAAUGGAGAUGUGAGCAUCCUCAGUGUCCCAAUGAAUUUCAGCACUGACAUGACGGACCAGUUCUUGGGGUGAGAGGACAGUUCAGGGUUCUGUGCUGAAUUAAUCAUUGGCUUCU
rnacentral:sRNA from 1 species